rnacentral:rRNA from 1 species
CAGUCGCCGCGGUAAAACGUAGGUGGCAAGCGUUGUCCGGAAUUAUUGGGCGUAAAGGGCUCGCAGGCGGUUUCUUAAGUCUGAUGUGAAAGCCCCCGGCUCAACCGGGGAGGGUCAUUGGAAACUGGGAAACUUGAGUGCAGAAGAGGAGAGUGGAAUUCCACGUGUAGCGGUGAAAUGCGUAGAGAUGUGGAGGAACACCAGUGGCGAAGGCGACUCUCUGGUCUGUAACUGACGCUGAGGAGCGAAAGCGUGGGGAGCGAACAGGAUUAGAUACCCCCGUAGUCCCUGUCUCUUAUAC